rnacentral:rRNA from 1 species
UACGUAGGGACCGAGCGUUGUCCGGAAUCAUUGGGCGUAAAGAGCGUGUAGGCGGCUUGCUAAGUCUUGCGUGAAAUCUCGGGGCUCAACCCCGAGCGGUCGUGGGAAACUGGCAGGCUAGAGUGCGGGAGAGGAGAAUGGAAUUCCUGGUGUAGCGGUGAAAUGCGCAGAUAUCAGGAAGAACACCCGUGGCGAAGGCGGUUCUCUGGAACGCAACUGACGCUGAGGAGCGAAAGCAUGGGUAGCGAACAGG